rnacentral:rRNA from 1 species
GCACAAGCGGUGGAGCAUGUGGUUUAAUUCGAUGGUACGCGAGGAACCUUACCAGGGCUUGACAUACGCCGGAAGCGCAUCGAAAGGUGCGUGCCGCUUGCGGCCGGCGUACAGGUGCUGCAUGGCUGUCGUCAGCUCGUGCUGUGAAGUGUUGGGUUAAGUCCCGCAACGAGCGCAGCCCCUGCUGCCUGUUGCCACCACGAGAGGUGGGGACUCAGGCGGGACCGCCGGUGACAAACCGGAGGAAGGUGGGGACGACGUCAAGUCAUCAUGGCCCUUAUGUCCUGGGCUACACACGUGCUACAAUGGCCGGUACAGAGCGCAGCGAGGCCGCGAGGCGGAGCGAAUCGCUUAAAGCCGGUCCCAGUACGGAUUGGAGUCUGCAACCCGACUCCAUGAAGUUGGAAUCGCUAGUAAUCGCGCAUCAGCAUGGCGCGGUGAAUACGUUCCCGGGCCUU